rnacentral:RNase_MRP_RNA from 2 species
UCGCCGUUCGAAGAAUCGUCGUCGCAGCUCACGUACAGGGAGCUUUUCGCUUCUCCUCUCCUGCUGUGGGGAAAGUCCCCGGAGAUACAGAGCAUGUCCUCGAUCGUCACAUGGAAACCGACCGGCUCUAAGCACGACGGUACUGAUCGAGGACGGCGAGAAUGUACUGCUUAGACCUCUAGUCUUUGUCUCCGUCUCUGCCACUCUGUCGUUCAUUCUGAAGGCUAGCAUGGUCGCCAAGGCGCAGGGGUGCGAAGAUAUGAGCAACCCUGUUGCUCGACAUGCCUGUCGGAAGGUGGACGUCCCGUUGCUCAUAGACACAGUUAUACGAUUGUAGACCGAAGUUCUCUUCAGUCAUCAACUCAAUGGGGCUCACUCUCGUUCGGCG